ACUCCUACGGGAGGCAGCAGUGAGGAAUAUUGGUCAAUGGAGGGAACUCUGAACCAGCCAUCCCGCGUGUAGGAAGACGGCCUUAUGGGUUGUAAACUACUUUUAUACAGGAAGAAACGUACCCUCGUGAGGGUGCCUGACGGUACUGUAGGAAUAAGCACCGGCUAACUCCGUGCCAGCAGCCGCGGUAAUACGGAGGGUGCGAGCGUUGUCCGGAAUUACUGGGCGUAAAGAGCUCGUAGGUGGUUUGUCGCGUUGUUCGUGAAAACCUGAGGCUUAACCUUGGGCGUGCGGGCGAUACGGGCAGACUGGAGUACUGCAGGGGAGACUGGAAUUCCUGGUGUANCGGUGGAAUGCGCAGAUAUCAGGAGGAACACCGGUGGCGAAGGCGGGUCUCUGGGCAGUAACUGACGCUGAGGAGCGAAAGCGUGGGGGAGCGAACAGGAUUAGAUACCCUGGUAGGCUCUG
rnacentral:rRNA from 1 species